GGAUUCCCCUAGUAACGGCGAGUGAAGCGGGAAAAGCUCAAAUUUGAAAUCUGGCGGUCUACGGCCGUCCGAGUUGUAGUCUAGAGAGGUGUCUUCUGCGUCGGACCAUGCACAAGUCCCUUGGAACAGGGCGUCAUAGAGGGUGAGAAUCCCGUCCGUGGCAUGGACUCCCGGUGCUUUGUGAUGCGCCUUCGAAGAGUCGAGUUGUUUGGGAAUGCAGCUCAAAAUGGGUGGUAAAUUCCAUCUAAGGCUAAAUACAGGCGAGAGACCGAUAGCGAACAAGUACCGUGAGGGAAAGAUGAAAAGCACUUUGGAAAGAGAGUUAAACAGUACGUGAAAUUGUUGAAAGGGAAACGCUUGGAGUCAGUCGCGUUUGCCGGGACUCAGCCUUGCUUCUGCUUGGUGCACUUCCUGGUACACGGGCCAGCAUCGAUUUUGAUCGCCGGAAAAAGGCUUGGGGAAGGUGGCACCUUCGGGUGUGUUAUAGCCCCUUGUUGUAUACGGUGGUUGGGAUUGAGGACCGCAGCACGCCUUUUGGUCGGGGUUCGCCCACGCCACGUGCUUAGGAUGCUGGCGUAAUGGCUUUAAACGACCCGUCUUGAAACACGGACCAAGGAGUCUAACAUGCCUGCGAGUGUUUGGGUGUAAAACCCAGGCGCGUAAUGAAAGUGAAAGGUUGGGACUCUUCGCUGAGGCACCGACGCCCGAUCCUGACGUUCUCUGACGGAUUUGAGGUAGAGCAUGUAUGUUGGGACCCGAAAGAUGGUGAACUAUGCCUGAAUAGGGCGAAGCCAGAGGAAACUCUGGUGGAGGCUCGUAGCGAUUCUGACGUGCAAAUCGAUCGUCAAAUUUGGGUAUAGGGGCGAAAGACUAAUCGAACCAUCUAGUAGCUGGGUUCCUGCCGA
rnacentral:rRNA from 1 species